GACUGUUGCUGUUUCGACAACAUAGUGGCCUUUAUAUACAAUUGCUGUUAUCAGUAGGCGAGCAGCUUUUGUCUAUCGUGCAGCUGAAGAAAGCGUUCAUGCCAAUCGUCGGUUCUGCGUGACCUUUUUGACCAUGCUAGUAUUUCAGUCUGCCUUAUUGAAUGUUAAAAAAAUUGCAUUUGCUGUCUUAAUAUUACACUUUUUUCACUAAGGUGAGAGCAGCUUUAACUUAGGUAUGUAUGUAUGUCUAUUUGUGCGAAUUUAUUUGCAUGUGUUACAUAUACAUACAUAUUCGGUGUGAUAAUACUCGUACUAUCAGAGCCCACUGAUUCAAUGCUAUGGUCGGCGGCUAUUUGUUUACAUGGUGCAUUCUGGAACAGAUGUGCUAAAAUCAUAUUUAAUUAAAAUUCAAACAGAUUCACAAACAUAUGAAAUAUAUAAAUAAAAAAUGAUUGUGCUAAUUGGUGUGGCGUCCAUGCCUUAUCAAUUAUCAGUGUCUUGGAAAACUACCCACUCUCAUUCAAGACUCAAUGAGUCUUCAAAAAUUAUUCAGUCCAUUUAUGCUUGUUUGUUUUGAAAAUAUAUUAUAAGUCAUGAGAUGUCUUCAAUUCGGUGGUGUUCGAAGAUUUUUCCUUCUAUAUUCAACAUUUCAACAACAUUGAACGGAAAAGACUUUAUAAAUUGAUCAUAUCGUUAUUGAGUAAACUCACUUAUGGCGAGGUAAAUUUGAAAGAUCCGUGAAUAUUUUAUGUAGAAUGGUGAAUUUUUUGUUUCGCAAAGGGCGGCCACGAAUUAUAAAUUAGCGUAGGCGCAGAUGACCACCCUAUUUGUUUCAAAAAAAAAGUUUUUGAAUAUUUACUUCUCAAAUUUAAUCUGCAUUGUUGACGACUACGGAGUCACAUACAAAUCUUAUCACUGAAAGUAAUUUUGUUUUUAAUUUAAAUUUCUGUUAAACAAAACUGGCACAAUAUCACCUGAACUUUGACUAUGAUGGGCGGAAACACGUACAAUACAUUAUAUAUAAUUUAGUAUUAAGCCGAAUAACCUAGAGGUUAUCGACAAAUGCCGGUCUGCACAAUGCAGUGCUUAGAAAAUAUGCACUUUUCAGUUUAAAGACUUUCACUGCGCUUUCAAGCGGUAAAAAAUUCACUAAAAAUUACAGUUACAGUUAACACUACUCAAUGCAGCCGGCAUUGCUUAAAAUAAUUUUCUUGACCGCAGAACGCGUGUAUUUGGUGCAGCUUAAGCUCAGUACCAACAAGGAUUUUUUCGACGCACAUGUCUGGUUUUCGAAUUGGGUCAUCAACACUGGAUAAGCCGCGCGAGCUUUGUGUGACCUAUAAAAUGGGGGCCUUUGUGAGCAAAUUUCUCGCUCCAAUUUUAGUUAAAAAAUAUUGUUUAUUGUGUAGUCUAAUAUAGUAUAUUAACAGAUUAAUGCAGUUGUAUUGUCUUCUAUCUAAUGCUGCCUUAGUAAGUUAACGUCUUUAUAAAUCUCGUUAUUAGUGAUGAUAAAUUUAAAGUGAAAUGUGUAUGUAUGUAUGUAUAUAUGUUAAUAACCAUAGAUUUCUUACAAAUUAUUACUUAUAAUAUGUCUCAGUAAUUAAUGCAAAUGUAUGUAUAUGUUGGGUGUCUGAUGUUGUAAAUAUCCGCUAAAUAAUUUUGUAAUUUAUUUUUAAUGCUUUUUAUAAUAAAACUUAAAAUAAAACUUGCA
rnacentral:lncRNA from 1 species